UACGGGGGGUGCAAACGUUGCUCGGAAUCAUUGGGCGUAAAGCGCGUGUAGGCGGUUCGGUAAGUCAGAUGUGAAAGCCCCCGGCUCAACCGGGGAAGUGCAUCUGAAACUGGCGAGCUAGAGUACGAAAGAGGGUCGCGGAAUUCCCGGUGUAGAGGUGAAAUUCGUAGAUAUCGGGAGGAACACCGGUGGCGAAGGCGGCGACCUGGGUCGAUACUGACGCUGAGGUGCGAAAGCGUGGGGAGCAAACAGG
rnacentral:rRNA from 1 species